GCAGCGAGGGACCGGCGGCAGGGAACAGCCACCGCCAUUCGAGGCGCGCGCUCGCUCGCGUGCGCGUAUAUGUGCAAAGGAGCGACGGCCGAUGGCUAAUCCCGGGGAGAAGUGAGCGUGCUCUCCCUUCCCACGAGGAGGAAGGAGAUGGUCAGUUUAGCGAUGACUCAUGAGUACCUCCUUAAGGAAUUGUGCUUUCCACCGCUUGCCAAAUUGCCUUGCAGCUCCUUUCCCCACCUCCUGUGUUUUUGUUUGAGUAAAUCCAGAUUUGGAUAGAAGCUAAAAUAUUUUAAUUUGAAUGCAUGCAUCUUAUGGCGGAUUCUUGAUGCCUCUGUGUGUGGCAUAAUUCCCUUUCUGCAGAAUUUAAUGUAAAGUUUUAAAACCAUGAAGAAAAGAAGGUGAAUUAACUGUUAAGCACUCGAUUUAAAAUAAAUCCACUUACAAAUUGUCA